UAUAAUGUUUGACUAUUCGUCUUAUUUAAAAAAAUUUUGCGAUUAGUAUUUUUAUUUUUACUAGAUGAUAAAACAUGAAUAAUACUUUAUGUGUGACUAAUUUUUAAAGUUUUUUAUAAAUUUUUUAAAUAAGACGAAUAGUUAAACAUUAAACACGAAAAAAC
rnacentral:pre_miRNA from 1 species